UACGUAGGGGGCAAGCGUUGUCCGGAUUUAUUGGGCGUAAAGCGCACGCAGGCGGUCUCUUAAGUUUCGAGUGACAGGUGGUGGGCUCAACUGCCACAGGCCUUGGAAAACUGGGAGACUUGAGGACUUCAGAGGGAUGCGGAAUUCCAGGUGUAGCGGUGAAAUGCGUAGAUAUCUGGAGGAACACCGGUGGCGAAGGCGGCAUCCUGGACCGACAUUGACGCUGAGGCGCGAAAGCCAGGGGAGC
rnacentral:rRNA from 1 species